GGCCCCUUAGCUCAGUGGUUAGAGCAGUCGACUCAUAAUCGAUUGGUCCCAGUUCUUAUUUGGGGGUUCU
rnacentral:tRNA from 1 species